rnacentral:rRNA from 1 species
UACAGAGGGUGCGAGCGUUAAUCGGAAUUACUGGGCGUAAAGCGUGCGUAGACGGUAGCGUAAGUCAGAUGUGAAAGCCCCGGGCUCAACCUGGGAACUGCAUUUGAGACUGCUCUGCUCGGGUGCGGAAGAGGGAAGCGGAAUUUCCGGUGUAGCGGUGAAAUGCGUAGAUAUCGGAAGGAACACCAGUGGCGAAAGCGGCUUCCUGGUCCGACACCGACGUUCAGGCACGAAAGCGUGGGGGAGCA